GUACUGACCUGGCAGGAGAGCACUAAGAACAUGAAGGUGGUUUUCCCAAGGUCAGCCUCAUCCCUUGCCCUCUGGCUGUGCCAGCCCCUGCACUUUCCCCAAAUGUGGGCAGCAUCACUGUGCUGUGGCUGUGGGGUGCAUUCCUGUUGUUCCUCA
rnacentral:snRNA from 13 species